GACGAACGCUGGCGGCGUGCUUAACACAUGCAAGUCGAACGGAAAGGCCCUACUUUUGUGGGGUGCUCGAGUGGCGAACGGGUGAGUAACACGUGAGUAACCUGCCCUUGACUUUGGGAUAACUUCAGGAAACUGGGGCUAAUACCGGAUAGGAGCUCCUGCUGCAUGGUGGGGGUUGGAAAGUUUCGGCGGUUGGGGAUGGACUCGCGGCUUAUCAGCUUGUUGGUGGGGUAGUGGCUUACCAAGGCUUUGACGGGUAGCCGGCCUGAGAGGGUGACCGGCCACAUGGGGACUGAGAUACGGCCCAGACUCCUACGGGAGGCAGCAGUGGGGAAUAUUGCACAAUGGGCGGAAGCCUGAUGCAGCAACGCCGCGUGCGGGAGGACGGCCUUCGGGUUGUAAACCGCUUUCGCCUGUGACGAAGCGUGAGUGACGGGAAUGGGGAAAGAAACACCGGCUAACUACGG
rnacentral:rRNA from 1 species